GGGCCGGUAGCUCAGCGGUCAGAGCAGCGGGCUCAUAACCCGACAGACGGAGGUUCGAAUCCUCCUCGGCCCA
rnacentral:tRNA from 2 species